rnacentral:rRNA from 1 species
GCAGGGGUGGAAGUGUGGUAACACAUGGAGCUGACUGCUACUAAUAGGGUGAGGGCUUGACCAA